UGAUGCAGCCCAGUUGGUUAUGGUUGUUGUUUGUGAACUGAUGGACGCGGGUUCGAAUCCCGGGUCGCGCAUUAC
rnacentral:tRNA from 1 species